UCACCAGAAAAAUAAAGAUUUUUAUAUCAAUCUUAGAAGUUUCCUAAUUUUCGUCUGUUUUUCUUUAGAUGCAUCCCAUCACCAAAAAUCCUGGAUCAAACUUUCACCAAUAAACUCAGAGAUUUUGAGGGUAAUCUCAAAGUUUCUGAGUUUCUUCUUGUACAUAUUUUAAUUUUGGAGCACAGAAAUUUCCUUGUUUUUGCCAGAUAAUUUCUGAACAGGUUUGUGUUUGCAAUAUGACAGAAUGUGGGGAAGUCCAACAGGUGUCAAUAUUUAAAGCAAAUCCAUCCUGUUUCUUUGUGAUUUAUUUACCGCUUAACCUCCCUGCUAGAUCAAAAUAUCAGAGCUGAAAUAUUUGUUAAAAACUUCUGAAUGACAAGCAGCAGAAUCUGGAUUGAAUAUUUGGGAUACUUUAAAUGAAAACCAGGAGGGAAACAUUCCUCUGGGAAUGCUGGACAUCUGAGACGGUUCAGAAAUGUCCCACUGUUUCUGGAUCUGGACUGGAAAUGGAAAAGGAUUCAGAUCUAUGGAGCAGAGGGACAAAUCUGCUGAAAGGACUCGGUAAACAGCUUAAAUAUUUACAGCCUGGGAGCGAACAUUCCUGCUGACACUCCUCUGUGUCAACGUCUAUUGCUGUGAAUGAGGCAGAAAAGUUUCAAGGAUGACUUCAGUGUCCUCAUUUCGGUGUUUCAGCUUGCACAUUACCUUAAGAACCUUUGGUAUCAUCGUGAAGAGGUCCAACAGUCCACCGGAUCUCAGCUGAGCAGUACUUUGGUCCUCUGGAAGGUCCUGUCCAGGAACAAAGAGGUUGCUAGGCAACAAAGACACCAUGAUUGUAAAGAGGCGUGUUUGUGUCCAUGUUUGUCCAGCGGGCUUCGAAGACGCAAUGAGAAACACUUUUUACAGCCAGAGUUACGUUCAAAAUGAUAGCGCUCUUGUUCUGGAGGCCAAGAUCUGAAUGUUCCUCUCCUCUCUUCAGCCUGGAGAAAAGAAAUCCUGUUUCUGCAGAUUUACGUUUGAGUCACAGAAUCACGCCAGGAGAAACUGCAGCUGUCAGUCAACGUUGAGCUGCGGCUCUUUUUUGAUGAAUGACUCACAAAGUUGUUUGUAUAAGAGUCUCAGCAGCAGGCUCCACGAAGUGUGGCAAAGAUCUCUACACACAU